AAGGGGCGAUGGAUGGUCGCUGUUUCGGCAGAGGAAAGUCCGGGCACCGCAGAGCAAAAUGCUGGCUAACGGCCAGGUUCAGCAAUGGACGGAAAGUGCCGCAGAAAAUAUACCGCCGUACUCGUUUCGGUAAGGGUGAAAUGGUGAGGUAAGAGCUCACCGCGCUUUUGGUGACAAGAGUGGCAGGGUAAACCCCAUUUGGUGCAAGACCAAGAAGAAGCUCGCCUUUGGCGCCAGCGGCUCGUUGGUUUGAGUUUCGGGUAGGUCGCUUGAGGUGUUUGGCAACAAACAUCCCAGAUAGAUGAUCAUCACCGCAAGGUACAGAACCCGGCUUAUAGUCGCCCCUUAUUU
rnacentral:RNase_P_RNA from 1 species